rnacentral:tmRNA from 1 species
CCCCUUCAAAUCCUCGCGCCCUGCCCCUAUAUCAAAGGUGUCCUUCGGGACUAUGGACAUAAACGCGCUCGUAAUAAGCGGAUCGGACCCGGGGGCGGUACCCGGCGGCUCCACCAAACAUCCUGUCGUUUGCGGGAUUAUGGGGCCGAAACAGGAUCGACGGACGUCUAAAGGGGUUAGCUUUGUUUCGGCUGUCUGCCACCGUUAUCGGCGAAAAAAGUACAAUUGCAAACGACAAUCGUGCUCCGGUUGCUCUGGCUGCGUAAGCAGUCCGGGUAGAACCGACUUUAAGCCCUUAUGCCUAGCCGCGUAAGGCGGGGUUCGCAGGUACCUGGCAACAGAAACCUGCACU